AUACGGAGGAUGCGAGCGUUAUCCGGAUUUAUUGGGUUUAAAGGGUGCGUAGGCGGUCGGGUAAGCGUAGGGUGAAAGUCCUCUGCUCAACAGAGGAAGUGCCUUCCGAACUGUCCGACUGGAAUGCUCCUGCCGUGGGAGGAAUGUGUGGUGUAGCGGUGAAAUGCAUAGAGAUCGGGAGGAACACCAGUGGCGAAGGCGACUUACUGGACUGUAACUGACGCUGAGGCGCGAAAGUGUGGGGAGCAAACAGGAUUAGAUACCCUGGUAGUCCACACUGUAAACGAUGAAUGCUAGGUGUAGGGGGUAUCGACCCCUUCUGUGCCGCAGUUAACACAAUAAGCAUUCCGCCUGGGGAGUACGGCCGCAAGGUUGAAACUUAAAGGAAUUGACGGGG
rnacentral:rRNA from 1 species